GAUGAACGCUGGCGGCGUGCCUAAUACAUGCAAGUCGAGCGAACGGACGAGAAGCUUGCUUCUCUGAUGUUAGCGGCGGACGGGUGAGUAACACGUGGAUAACCUACCUAUAAGACUGGGAUAACUUCGGGAAACCGGAGCUAAUACCGGAUAAUAUUUUGAACCGCAUGGUUCAAAAGUGAAAGACGGUCUUGCUGUCACUUAUAGAUGGAUCCGCGCUGCAUUAGCUAGUUGGUAAGGUAACGGCUUACCAAGGCAACGAUGCAUAGCCGACGUGAGAGAGUGAUCGGCCACACUGGAACUGAGACACGGUCCAGGCUCCUACGGGAGGCAGCAGUAGGGAAUCUUCCGCAGUGGGCGAAAGCCUGACGGAGCAACGCCGCGUGAGUGAUGAAGGUCUCCGGAUCGUAAAACUCUGUUAUUAGGGAAGAACAUAUGUGUAAGUAACUGUGCACAUCUUGACGGUACCUAAUCAGAAAGCCACGGCUAACUACGUG
rnacentral:rRNA from 1 species